UUAUUUGGAUGCUUAACUAGUUUGCAUUUUGCAAAGUUUUUUCUACACAUAGAAUCGCACAAGAAUUAACGGUAGUAACACGGCAAAUCGUUUGUGUUCUUUUGGCUCAUCGCAAACAGUUCAUCUAUGUGAACUGUAUGUCGUAUAUCACACACAUCUUGUUAAAUUGAACCAUUUCUAUUGUGUUUCCAAAUCGGAAAAAGUUCAUCCGAGUGAACCAUACGCCGUAUAUCGCACACAUCUUAUUCUGGCUAACCGUUUCUGUUGUGUUGCCUAAUCACAAACAGUUUAUACGAGUGAAUUGUAUGCCGUAUAUCGCAUACACCUUCAUCUGGCUCCUGA
rnacentral:lncRNA from 1 species